rnacentral:lncRNA from 1 species
AGGAUUCCAAAUGAAUGAGAAGUUAGUUAGAAACAAACUGUGCUCUUCCCAUCUCUUGGAGAACAGCCCUAGGGAGAUGGAAGCCCACGAUGCCAUUCAGAUGGAGCAGCUUAAUGGGGCUCUGCUGCACCUGAAGUCAGAGCUGGCCCGGACUCUGGCAGAGGGGCAGUACCAAACCUAGGAGUAUGAGAAGCCCCUGCUGAACAUCAAAGUCAAACUGUCAGCUGAAAUUGCCACCUUACUACUGCCUGUUGGAAGAUGAAAAGGACUUCUAUCCCUAUGAUGCCCUGGAUAGCAGGAAUUGAAUGCAAACUAUCCAAAAGACCUGCAGGAUAGUAGACAACAAUUAGCAUCUGAGACCAAUGACUCUAAAGUUCUGAGGUGUUGAAGCAGCAAAAGCAAGGUACCCUUUGGGUAACAGGAGACCAAUAAAAAGUUCAGGGGUCAAAAAAAAUUGAACAGCAGUUUUGGUCACCAAAUGUCAGGAGUUUUAGAUUUAACUCUAUGUCAAAUAACAGGAUUGAUAGGGAAUCUAACUAAUUUUUCAAACAUUAUAUCAUUGGGAAAUAUAUUCCAUGCUUUAAACAGCUCACCAAAACUGUCUUUGGAAUAAAAUAUAUUAUUGGUUUUAAACUGAUUACAGUAAAAACAACUGGCAACUUCACACAAUCUUCUAUCAAUCCUAGAAGUGCAUUCUCUGUGCAGAAGAUAUCUCAGUUUAGUUGAUACACUGAGCUAUACAGAAUGAUAGAUCUGUUUGAAAUUCUAUGAUCCAUCCUAAGUAGAAAAUUUUGUAGUCAUGUCAGGUAUAAGAGUUAUGACAUGCCACAAAUAUUUGUUUAUCAUAGAAAACUUAAACAUAGGGAGGAGGUAUAUAACUUUUCUGGUCCUAUUUAAUCUCACUGAAUUAGUAUGUUUUAUGUUUCAAUAGCAAAUGUAUACUGAAAAGGCAGAGAAACAUUAAAAUAACAGCAAAAAUACAGAAAUAAUAUUUCAUUAUCUGGACUCUGUUAGUUCAUAAUUUUCUCUAUGCAUUUUAAAAAGGGGAGAAAAGUAAUUAUGAUAAAAUAUAUGUUUUUAUUAUAUAUCACUAACUUUUACUCCAACAGAAGGA